rnacentral:lncRNA from 1 species
UGAUUAGCACAACGCAUUUGUUUAUCGGUUUAUGCCUUACAGCUGUGCCAGGGAGAUGGCGCCUGUUUACUUGUGCAAACAAGGUGUAGAGUCCUCUCACCUCAGCACUAAACUCAGAAUGGAGCAGCUUACGGACAACCCCUGCUGACAAAAUGGAGUAGCAGAGGCUCCGACACAGCCGAGAACCGCUGCUCUGUACGUGGUGGACUAACUCAGAGCUGCCCACACACAGGCAGUGCUAAUCCACACAAUGGAAUAGUUACCCUAAAAAGGUGGUACCAUUGCACACUGCAACAUAGGUGAAAGCGUCAGGCUAAGUGAAGGAAGUCAGACCCAAAAGGAUAACACAUAUUGCAUGAUUCCAUGAAAUAUCCAGAACAGGCAGUUUGGGGUUGCCAGGGUUGGGGAUAAGGGGAGAUGGGAAGGGACCGUUUAGUGGAUAUGAGGUUUCCCCAGGUGGUGAGAAAACGUGAUGCAUUCACAACAUGGUGAAUGUACUGAAAGUUCACUUUACAGUGGCAAAAGGGGUGAAUUUUAUGUUGUAUGGAUUUUGUCUCAUUCUUUAAAAAGCCUGUAUUAGACUAAGCAAGUGUUGGCAUAGAAACUAAUUCUUUGACUAGUGCUGAAGACCAGUAGCUUAGUAAGC